CUUCUAAAUUCAAAGACGAAGAAAAAAAACAGAUGAAACAGAAGAAAAUAAAAACUAACGAUGCUGAACGAAUGGAGACAUAGAGAACAAGACCAGAAACCGAAAAAACCGAUCGGUUUGAAGCCGCCGAACCGAACUGACCAGGAAACCGAAGUAAAUUGGCAAAAACGCCGAUCGGUUUGUUGUCUCAAAUGUGAAUGAAACCGAAAACCGAAAACUUCGGUUCGGUCGGUCUGGUUCCAGUUUAGUCCGAAUGCCCAGGACAACAUUCUGAGUUUCUAUUUACAGCUAGAGUGUUGCUGUCAAAUGUGUCAGCUGAACUUGGUGUUUGCUGAACCCUAAUUUUUCUGAUUUAUUUUUUUUCCUUCUGGUCUUCUUGAACACAACAAAGAACUGGAUCAUCUCUUAGUCUUUCUCGUUCUUUCACUCAUGGAGGCUCCGUGAAUCCAAAGCACAGGCAAGCUCUGGAAGAAGCAUCAGAAGAUGGUUUAUUCGAGUUCCUCCUCUGCGACUUCGCCUCCGUGACUUCACCGGGUUUUCAUGUCACCGUUCCGCCUCGUCUCCGUCAGCCACGACCACCGAUGACGGGUACUCCUCCAUCAUCGUUGAGAGAUGUUGGAGCUAAGGUUGAGUUCUUGCCAAGAGAUUGUGUUCUGGGGGCUGGAGCCACAUGUUAGAAACCAAGCUCUGAACUGGAUUCUAAAGGUUUGACCUUUCUUGAAUCUGGUUUGGUCUCUGUUUAGAGUUCCAAGCUAUGGAGAAGAAGAAACCAAACCAUGGAGAAGAAGAUGGAGUUUGCUAAACUCCUAUCUCGAUUGAAUCCCAAUCUCCACUGUUUUUGAUUCAUUUCGACCUAAUUAAUGGUAUUUGUUUCGCGGCCAUUGUCUCUUAGCCACCGCCUCCACACAUCCUUGUUCCCAAGAUCAUCAGUUGUCGACAUGAAAGAAAGGAGGAGAUUUGAAGAUUCAGAUGGCAUCAUUCAGUUGGGGGUCGUCAUCUGUGAAGACUUGAGCGCAGCAAAUAGAGGAGAGUUACUAGCUGCAGCUUGCGAUUUUGGACUGAGGCUAUUUAUGCCUUCUUACGUCGAAGAUUCAAACUCUCUGAAUCAUGUGUUGGACGAGUCUACGACUUCACCAAGUUCAGCUGAAACCGUUUCACAUCGUUUCUGGGUAUUGUUUUAAUUGCAUCUUCUUCCUUCAUGUUUAUCUUUGUGUUCACUGGAUUUUUUACCUACUAGAGAAUUGGCCAAGCAGGUAAUGAUCUUAAGCAAGUUUGUUUUGUUUCUUUUCUUGAAGUUUUGUUGAUGGUGUGGUGUUUGCUGACUUUGAUGUAUAUGGUGGAGCUGUUGGAUUAGCUUCUUGUUGUGUAUAUGGAGGGGAUCCCUACCAGCCUCAGGAGCAUAAAUUCAAGAGAGGUGUUGACAUUGUAGUUGAGACACCUGGUCGCAUCAAGGUUUUUCAAGGACUUGGUUUCCCUUGAAGUAUUCGACAGUGACAAACAAGGGUAUCAAAAGCAUAUGUCGUGGUUUUGAUCUAGUCCACAACUUGUGGUGAGUGUUUUGUCAGAGGUUUUGGUAACAUGAGUCUAUGUCUACGUCUUUUUCUUAUUUUGUUAAUAUGAAUCCAUGUCCACGUUUUUCUUCUCUUGUCCACAUGAGUCAUUGUCCACACUAGUCUGUCCACAUGUGUAUGUGUCCAUGUCCACAUGAGGCUAUGUCCACAUGACUCUAUGUCUUCUUUUGUUAACAUGCCCAAAAGCUUCUUUUUUUUCCUUUUUUGGUGAGUUUCUUGGUAACACGAUUCAUGUCCACGUUUUGUGGUAUGCAGUUGUCCACAUGUUGACAUCCAUGUCCACAUUUUUUUUAUGUCCAAGCAUUUUUUAUAUAAUUGUUAAAAUAUAUAAAAUACA